rnacentral:rRNA from 1 species
AUGGCCAUGAGGGUCGACUCGGCAAUCCUCGCCGUCGUCGUCGCCUUCCUCCUCCCCCUCCGCCUGCUCUCCCUCUUCGCCCGCCUGAAAUCCUCCGGUAGCGCAGGCGAUCUCCGCCGAUCCUGCACCGCCCUCGCCAUCGCGGCCGCGCUCCUUGCCACCUUCUUCGCCCUACCCCGCUACGACGGCGGUCGCACGGGGCAGUGCACCGCCCCCGUUGGUUUCGCUUGGGAGGAGGGUACCGGCCGAGAGGUUCGGUUGGAAAUCGAGCAGCUGAAGCUGCAGCUCAACCGAUUGGAAUCAUUAUGGGAAAACAAUUCAAAAGCACCAGAUGACAAAGGUGAUGCUUCAGAGGAAGAUGCCGAGUUUGUGAAAGCGAUGGGACUGGACAUUCAGGCUCUGAUCAAGGAACAAGAAAACAUCAAGGAAUCAUUAUGGAGUUCUGGCGGUACUAUCAAAUCAGUCGAAAAUGAGGUACGAAUUCUGGCGGCAGAAUCCAGAAAGAUGAACUCUGAUAUUUACAAUGUGUGGUCAUUGGCCAACGAUACAGAGAAAACGGUUGAAGCUCUACAUUCAGAUGUCCAAAAGGCUCAAAUUAUAAUGGAUGAAUCAAGGAAGAUGAACUCUAAUGCUCACCAGAUAUGGUCAUUGGCAAAGGAUACAGCAAAAAAGGUCGAAUCUCUGUAUACAGAUGUUGCAAAGGUUCAAAGUGUAAUUGAUAUAUCAAAAAAGAUGGAAUCUAAUAUACACAAAGCGUGGUCUUAUGCAAAGCAGACAGAGAAGAGGGUUGAAGAUAUAUAUUCAGAUGUCAAAAAGGGCUUCAAGAAGAAGGCCUGGAUGAGCUGA